rnacentral:rRNA from 1 species
GACGAACGCUGGCGGCGUGCUUAACACAUGCAAGUCGAGCGAUGAAACUACUUCGGUAGUGAAUUAGCGGCGAACGGGUGAGGAACACGUGAGGAAUCUGCCUUCUACACUGGGAUAACUCCGGGAAACCGGGGCUAAUACCGGAUAUGAAACUUGGUGGCAUCACCGAGUUUGGAAAGUUUUUCGGUAGAAGAUGACCUCGCGGCCUAUCAGCUUGUUGGUGAGGUAAUGGCUCACCAAGGCGACGACGGGUAGCCGGCCUGAGAGGGCGACCGGCCACACUGGGACUGAGACACGGCCCAGACUCCUACGGGAGGCAGCAGUGGGGAAUAUUGGGCCAAUGGAGGAAACUCUGACCCAGCGACGCCGCGUGCGGGAUGAAGGCCUCGGUGUAACGCUUUCAGUAGGGAAGAAGCGAAAGUGACGGUACCUACAGAAGAAGCACCGGCUAACUAUGUG